AUCCGAACUGGUGUAUCGGUAACAUAUCCGCCUCUCAAUAUUCGAGUUUCGCUUGAAAAGAUUCCGCGGUUGCGCGGGGUUCGACUCCCCGGUUCGGAA
rnacentral:tRNA from 1 species